GCUACGGAAAAUCUUCCGUCGCGAUUAAACUUUAUCAUUUGCGACGGAAAAUGUUUGCCGUAGUAACUCUGCAAUCAAUUGCGACGAACUUUUCUCGUACCGUCGUAAACUUUUCUCUUACUCUUGGCGCUAACCCAAUUAUUUUCCCCCUGUUUUUACUUUUGGCCAAAGUUCCCACCAACAAUACAGCCCUAAUUCUUUAUCCCUCUUUUUCCCAAACAACACCUCUCUCUCUCCCCCUCCCUCCCCAAGCUUUGUAGCUCCUCGAACUGGAACUUACCGCAGAGAUCGACGAGGUCCGCACCGCAACCUACCGCCAACAGUGACGAGCUCCUCCGUCGACGUUAACGAGGUCUGCGCGCCGGAACAUACCACCGAGACUGACGAGCUCCUCCUUUCCAUCGAAUAGCUCCUCCUUCACCAAAUAAACUGUAACAACAGCUCUCUCACACCCCAGACACAACAAAUCCAGAUCAAUAUCUCUAGGAAUCUAAGGACCAGCCCAGAACUUCUGCUAAAUCCUGUUUUGAUAUGUCAAAAUGAGGCUGAAAAAUGCUUAAUUGAGACAUCUAUUAGUUCCCUUCGUAUAAGCCUCAAGACUAGCAGGCCUAAAGAUUGGGAGAAAGUCCCUGAUCCUAAGAAGUAUUUUGUCCAAUUUUUUGGAACAGAAGAGAUCAGAGAACACCAUCCAUUAGUUGAAAAGGCAGCUCAUUAGCAAGUCAGUAGUGAAGAAUCUGGAGUUGAUUUUGGCAAUCCAAAGCCAAGAGCUUGAUAUUAGCAGAUAAUGAGUCUGCCAAAGCAUCAAGACAACAGCUUAAAGAAGCUAGAAAAAAAAAGCUCAAGUUUCCUAGGCAUAAGCUAGCAUACAGUUACUUUGGUGCUGCAAUUCUUUAUCUUCCUGAACUAGUACAUAGGUGCCACAAUCUUUGUGAAGAAAUUCUAUUCAAUGUGCCACGAUGGGCUUUAGUUAUUUAUUUCGCUAAUAUGAGGUUGUAAUUGUUGAUUGGUUUAGUUAUAAUGGAUAUUUGUAGUUUAACUUUAGAUGCAUGUAUAAUAGUUUUCAUUUUUGCAUGUUCUUAGAAUGAAAAUAUGGUGCAAUUUUCACCAUAUUUUUUUUUUUAAAAAAAAUUCGUUUUUUGCGACGGCAAGGUUACCGUCGCAAAUACCUCCACAUGGAUUAUCCUAAAACAGACAUUGCGACGGAAGUCACCGUAGCAAAUGGGCCGUCGCAAAACAAUAAAUUUGCAACGGCAAGAGAAAACCGUCGCAAAAAAGUAUUUGCGACGGCAAAUUGCCGUAGCAAUUGGAUUUUGUGACGCCACCUAUUGCAACGCCUGUCUUGCCGUCGCAAAAACCUCAAUUUACCGUCGCGAAAAGUUUUUGCCGUCGCAAAAGCUCAAUUUGCCGUCGCAAAAUAGG